rnacentral:misc_RNA from 1 species
UGGAAUGCAAUGGCGGUUCCGUUCUUCCUCCUCGGCUUCUCGUUCAUUCUCGUUAUAAGAAUGCACUGCGAGUACCGCCCAAAGCCUCCAUGCGAAUCGGUCCUUAUACCACGUGACAUUUCGCACCCGCAGAUCCGCUCGAGUUGCCAGGAUAGAUCAGAACUGGUGAUGGGAGAGAGAAAUUGGAAAGAUUGGAGACCUUUUGUGUAUGGUGGCUUAGCUUCAAUCGUUGCGGAAUUGUGUACCUUUCCUCUAGACACUACGAAAACGCGUUUGCAAGUGCAGGGUCAGAAGUAUGAUCAGAAACUCGCUCGUUUAAGGUACUCUGGCAUGACCGAUGCUCUACUACAAAUAUCUAAGAAUGAAGGAAUAAAAGGAUUAUAUUCCGGGAUCAGUUCUGCCAUUUUGCGGCAGGCGACGUACGGGACGAUAAAGUUCGGGACUUAUUACUCUCUGAAAAAGGCUGUGACCGACACGUGGGCAACUGGCGACUUAGUUACGAUAAAUGUCGUUUGCGCGGCGUUAGCCGGAGCGGUAUCGAGUGCGAUUGCCAAUCCUACUGACGUGAUAAAGGUUCGCAUGCAAGUCACUGGCUCCGAGAUGAACAUGUCGUUGUUCACGUGCUUCCAGGAUGUGUACAGGCACGAGGGCGUGCGUGGGCUCUGGAGGGGUGUUGGGCCGACUGCUCAACGAGCGGCCGUUAUCGCGGCUGUCGAGUUACCUAUAUACGAUUAUACCAAGAGUAAAUGUAUGAGCGUAUUGGGAGACAGCGUUAGUAAUCAUUUCGUAUUUGUCGAUUGUCAAAGGAAGAAAUAUCGUUGUCGAUUAACCCUUAUCCGGGUAACCAAGGCCCGUUCCCUCUAACAAAGCACCGUCAGUUUGUCUAUAAAGUUCUAAUUUAGAGAGUAUGCGCGACUCUUGUGAAGUCCUUUGACAUUGUCACGUGUCGCGUAUGGACAUACGCGAUAGACGGAUUUUGAGACGACCAGAGCGGCUUGACACGGAAGCUGUGUUCAGCACUCUGUGUUUAGUACAAGAAUUCUCUUAUGACCAAACGUCAUCCAAAGAUGAUCGUUACAAUGUUAAUCUACUCCGCAGGGGCUUUUCGGUCAAGUUUUAUAGCUAGUAUGGGAAGUGCUGUAGCCUCAACGCCCAUAGACGUCAUACGCACACGGCUGAUGAAUCAGAGAAGAGUACAUAUUGCUGGUAAUACACUCCCGACACACAUUUACAGUGGCAGUAUAGACUGU